rnacentral:rRNA from 1 species
GACGAACGCUGGCGGCGUGCUUAACACAUGCAAGUCGAACGAAGUGGCGAACGGGUGAGUAACGCGCAAUCAACCUGCCCUUCAGAGGGGGACAACAGUUGGAAACGACUGCUAAUACCGCAUACUGAAGGAGGGGAAUGCGUCUGAUUAGCUAGUUGGUGGGGUAACGGCCCACCAAGGCGAUGAUCAGUAGGCGGUCUGAGAAGAUGAACGGCCACAUUGGGUCUGGGACACGGCCCAAACUGCUACGGGGGGCAGCAGUGGGGAAUCUUCCGCAAUGGGCGGAAGUCUGACGGGGCAAAGCCGCGUGGAUGAUGACGGCCUUCGGGUUGUAAAGCUCUGUUAAUCGGGACGCGGUACCGAAAUAGAAAGCCACGGCUAACUACGUGCCAGCAGCCGCGGUAAUAC